UUGACGAUUAGGUCUGCGUGAAACUAAAGCAUUCGUGGAGACUGCAAUACCUCAUUUCCAACCAAAACAUUAUAAAUAUCUUGGAAUCUAAAGCAUCUCUAUUAUUUCUUUAAUGCUUUUUCUUUUCUUUCUUUUUUUCUUUUUCUUUUUUUCCCUCUGAUUCUCUUUAGCUCAGGACUACAGAAGUACAAGAACCCACCAAGAGGCUAAAUUUGCAGUCCAGGGGAAGAGAAAGGGAGAUGGGUGUUAUCAAAUCAGCGGUAGGAGAUGCAGUCUUGACAUCCAUAUGGGUAUUUACCUUGCCAUUUCUUGGAGUUUUAACCUCCAUCGUAUCUACAUAUGUUGGUGUUGAGCCCAGAUCAAUACCAGGUCUUUUCAUAACUAUAAAUUUAGCUACCCUUUUGUAUCUAAUGUUCAGUUUUUUGGGUGCUGCCUUGGGUGGUGCUAGUUUUAAUCCCGCCACAACAGUAACACUAUACGCAUCUGGACUUAGACCCGAUGCGUCUCUCAUGUCUAUGGCCGUGAGAUUUCCAGCUCAAGCAGCGGGUGGAGUAAGUGGUGCCAUGGCAAUCUUACAAGCAAUGCCAAGAAAGUACAAGCAUCUGCUGAAGGGUCCUUCUCUAAAGGUGGAUUUGCAUACAGGAGCAAUUGCAGAAGGGGUUUUGAGUUUUAUGCUGUGCCUUGCUUUCCUUUCACUCAUGUCCAAAGGACCCAAGAAUUCCAUGCUGAAACUAUGGUUGUUGGCUUGUGUUAUUACUGGAUUGGCUGCUUGUGGGGCGAAAUAUACAGGGCCUUCACUGAAUCCUGCCAAUGUUUAUGGAUGGGCAUAUGUGCACAAUUGGCAUAAUUCAUGGGAGUUAUUUUAUGUGUACUGGAUUGGCCCUUUGGUUGGGGCAACUUUGUCUGCUUGGGUCUUUCGUUUCUUGUUUAAGCCCUCUAGCAAGCAAAAGCAAGCUUGAUCAAAGAGGAGGUUUGUAAUGCUCUUAUUAUGGACUGCAGAAUCAGAGACUCUUUUCAAGAGCCUAAAUUUGCAAUCCAAGAGAGAUGGGUGUGAUCAAAUCAGCAGUGGGAGAUGCAGUUUUAACAUCCAUGUGCUCUUCUGGGAGGUGCAAGUUUCAAUCCCAACACAACUGUGUCACUAUAUGCAGCUGGCCUCAAAUCAGAUAUGUCUCUCGUGUCUAUGGCUGUGAGAUUUCCAGCUCAAGCAGCUGGUGGGGCAGGUGGUGCCACUGC